AGUGAACGCUGACGGUAGGCCUAACACAUGCAAGUCGAACGGCAGCACAGUAAGAGCUUGCUCUUACGGGUGGCGAGUGGCGGACGGGUGAGGAAUACAUCGGAAUCUACUUUUUCGUGGGGGAUAACGUAGGGAAACUUACGCUAAUACCGCAUACGACCUACGGGUGAAAGCAGGGGAUCUUCGGACCUUGCGCGAUUGAAUGAGCCGAUGUCGGAUUAGCUAGUUGGCGGGGUAAAGGCCCACCAAGGCGACGAUCCGUAGCUGGUCUGAGAGGAUGAUCAGCCACACUGGAACUGAGACACGGUCCAGGCUCCUACGGGAGGCAGCAGUGGGGAAUAUUGGACAAUGGCGCAAGCCUGAUCCAGCCAUACCGCGUGGGUGAAGAAGGCCUUCGGGUUGUAAAGCCCUUUUGUUGGGAAAGAAAAGCAGCAGGUUAAUACCCCGCUGUUCUGACGGUACCCAAAGAAUAAGCACCGGCUAACUUCGUG
rnacentral:rRNA from 1 species